UCCCCUUCCAGAUCACCGCCACCACCUCCCUCCUCCUCCCUCGCCCUGGUUCCCUGCUCCGCCGAGACCGCCGUCGGGAGAUCCGACUUCGCCGACGGGAAUGGGGCCGGAUCCGCCAUGCCCGAGCGCUCCAUCCUCGUCGACAGGGAUGACUACAUCCUGGCCUCGGCGCUUCCGGCAGCGGCGGCUCAUCUCCUUCCUCGGGCACCACAACUUCAACCGCACCAUGGAUGUGUUGGUGACCCAGACGGACCUAGCCGAGCUGGUGGACACGGGCUCCUGGGACAAGGCCCUCCGACCGCCUGCUGGGCAUCCACGGCCGCGCCCUCUUCCACUACCUCCGCGUGCACAAGGCCAUCGACGACGUGCUCGCCGGAGCCCCGGGGGCGCGCUCCGUCACCACCGCCCUCGACCAGUGCAUCAUCCGCCACCCCACCAAGAGCCACGGCGUCACCAAGCUCCGCGCCAUCUUCUCCUCCCUCCUCUGCUCCAAGCGAUACAGGCAAACCAAGGUUGAUGAAGAAGUAAUGUCCAUCAGGUUCUUCACUUACUGGACAACUGAUGCGUACCAAGAGACGGGGUGCUACAACCACAACUGCCGGGGGUUUGUCCAGACGACCAACAAGAUAGCCAUCGGCGCGACUAUCACGCCACAAUCGGUGUACAACGGGAGGCAGUUUGAUAUUAAUCUGAUGAUAUGGAAGGAGCUCCAGGCCUAGGAAAUUUCAAGUUCGAAGCGGCGUAAUAAACUGUAAUAAACUGUAAAUAUUAUAGUACUGUAAUAGUAGGCAUAUCUGGGUUGUAAUAGACUAUGCACAGAUUGUAAUAGACUAUGUACAGUAGCU